GAUCAUGGCUCAGAACGAACGCUGGCGGUAUGCUUAACACAUGCAAGUCGAACGAAUGAGAUCCUAGCUUGCUAGGAUUAAGUUAGUGGCAAACGGGUGAGUAACACGUGGGAAUCUACCCAGUAGUACGGGAUAACAGUUGGAAACGAUUGCUAAUACCGUAUGGUAUCGAGAGAUUAAAGAUUUAUCGCUACUGGAUGAGCCCGCGUCAGAUUAGGUUGUUGGUGGGGUAAUGGCCUACCAAGCCUGAGAUCUGUAGCUGGUCUGAGAGGAUGAUCAGCCACACUGGAACUGAGACACGGUCCAGACUCCUACGGGAGGCAGCAGUGAGGAAUAUUGGACAAUGGGCGAAAGCCUGAUCCAGCAAUACCGCGUGAGUGAAGAAGGCCUUAGGGUUGUAAAGCUCUUUCAGCAGGGAAAAAAAUGAUGGUACCUGCAGAAGAAGUCCCGGCUAACUCCGUGCCAGCAGCCGCGGUAAUACGGAGGGGACUAGCGUUGUUCGGAUUUACUGGGCGUAAAGGGUGCGUAGGCGGUUUAGUAAGUUAGAAGUGAAAGCCCAGGGCUUAACCCUGGAACUGCUUCUAAAACUAUU
rnacentral:rRNA from 1 species